rnacentral:rRNA from 1 species
UUGAACGCUGGCGGCAGGCCUAACACAUGCAAGUCGAGCGCGAAAACACCUCGGUGUGAGUAGAGCGGCGGACGGGUGAGUAAUGCUUGGGAAUCUGCCCAGUAGUGGGGGAUAACGUGUGGAAACGCACGCUAAUACCGCAUACGUCCUACGGGAGAAAGCAGGGGAUCUUCGGACCUUGCGCUAUUGGAUGAGCCCAAGUCAGAUUAGCUAGUUGGUGAGGUAAUGGCUCACCAAGGCGACGAUCUGUAGCUGGUCUGAGAGGAUGAUCAGCCACACUGGGACUGAGACACGGCCCAGACUCCUACGGGAGGCAGCAGUGGGGAAUAUUGCACAAUGGGCGAAAGCCUGAUGCAGCCAUGCCGCGUGUGUGAAGAAGGCUCUAGGGUUGUAAAGCACUUUCAGUGGGGAGGAAAAGUUUAAGAUUAAUAAUCUUGAACCUUGACGUUACCUGCAGAAGAAGCACCGGCAAACUCCGUGCCAGCAGCCGCGGUAAUACGGAGGGUGCGAGCGUUAAUCGGAAUUACUGGGCGUAAGGCGCGCGUAGGUGGUUUGAUAAGCUAGCUGUGAAAGCCCCGGGCUCAACCUGGGAACUGCAGUUAGAACUGUCUGGGCUAGAGUAUAGUAGAGGGGUGGCGGGAAUUUCCUGUGUAGCGGUGAAAUGCGUAGAUAUAGGAAGGAACAUCAGUGGCGAAGGCGGCCACCUGGACUAAUACUGACACUGAGGUGCGAAAGCGUGGGGGAGCAAACAGGAUUAGAUACCCUGGUAGUCCACGCCGUAAACGAUGUCUACUAGCCGUUGGGAGACUUGAUCUCUUAGUGGCGCAGUUAACGCGAUAAGUAGACCGCCUGGGGAGUACGGCCGCAAGGUUAAAACUCAAAUGAAUUGACGGGGGCCCGCACAAGCGGUGGAGCAUGUGGUUUAAUUCGACGCAACGCGAAGAACCUUACCAGGUCUUGACAUCCUGCGAACUUUCUAGAGAUAGAUUGGUGCCUUCGGGAACGCAGUGACAGGUGCUGCAUGGCUGUCGUCAGCUCGUGUCGUGAGAUGUUGGGUUAAGUCCCGUAACGAGCGCAACCCUUGUCCUUAGUUGCCAGCACAUAAUGGUGGGAACUCUAAGGAGACUGCCGGUGACAAACCGGAGGAAGGUGGGGACGACGUCAAGUCAUCAUGGCCCUUACGACCUGGGCUACACACGUGCUACAAUGGCCAGUACAGAGGGCUGCAAACCCGCGAGGGGGAGCUAAUCUCACAAAGCUGGUCGUAGUCCGGAUCGCAGUCUGCAACUCGACUGCGUGAAGUUGGAAUCGCUAGUAAUCGUGAAUCAGAAUGUCACGGUGAAUACGUUCCCGGGCCUUGUACACACCGCCCGUCAAGGGC